AUUGAACGCUGGCGGCAGGCCUAACACAUGCAAGUCGAACGAGUGGCGGACGGGUGAGUAAUGUCUGGGAAACUGCCUGAUGGAGGGGGCUAACUACUGGAAACGGUAGCUAAUACCGCAUACCAUCGGAUGUGCCCAGAUGGGAUUAGCUAGUGGGUGGGGAAAAGGCUCACGUAGGCGACGAUCCCUAGCUGGUCUGAGAGGAUGACCAGCCACACUGGAACUGAGACACGGUCCAGACUCCUACGGGAGGCAGCAGUGGGGAAUAUUGCACAAUGGGCGAAAGCCUGAUCCAGCCAUGCCGCGUGUGUGAAGAAGGUCUUCGGAUUGUAAAGCACUUUAAGCUAGGAGGCGUUACCAACAGAAUAAGCACCGGCGAACUUCGUGCCAGCAGCCGCGGUAAUAC
rnacentral:rRNA from 1 species